GAAUGAUGAAGAAGCUUGCUUCUUCUGAUUUUAGCGGCGGACGGGUGAGUAACACGUGGGCAACCUACCUUGUAGAUUGGGAUAACUCCGGGAAACCGGGGCUAAUACCGAAUAAACCAUUUUGCUUCAUGGCAAGAUGUUGAAAGGCGGCUUCGGCUGUCACUACUAGAUGGGCCCGCGGCGUAUUAGCUAGUUGGUAGGGUAAUGGCCUACCAAGGCGACGAUACGUAGCCGACCUGAGAGGGUGAUCGGCCACACUGGGACUGAGACACGGCCCAGACUCCUACGGGAGGCAGCAGUAGGGAAUCUUCCACAAUGGACGAAAGUCUGAUGGAGCAACGCCGCGUGAGUGAAGAAGGUUUUCGGAUCGUAAAACUCUGUUGUAAGGGAAGAACACGUACGAGAGUAACUGCUCGUACCUUGACGGUACCUUAUUAGAAAGCCACGGCUAACUACGUGCCAGCAGCCGCGGUAAUACGUAGGUGGCAAGCGUUGUCCGGAAUUAUUGGGCGUAAAGCGCGCGCAGGCGGUUCUUUAAGUCUGAUGUGAAAGCCCACGGCUCAACCGUGGAGGGUCAUUGGAAACUGGAGAACUUGAGUACAGAAGAGGAAAGCGGAAUUCCACGUGUAGCGGUGAAAUGCGUAGAGAUGUGGA
rnacentral:rRNA from 1 species